UGUCACAAAUAGCAAUCUAAAAGCUUUACUGCUCUACAGGAGAGAUUUAGCCAUGGAAGAAGGAAGAGGAAUAAUGCACGACCUUGCCCAUUUACAGUAAAGAGCCUACCCUAUUUCACCAGCAGACGGUAGGAAAUAUAAAACACAAAUGAGAUCGACUUCAAAGGAACCCAAUUCUUCCUGUUUUUCAGCCUAAAGCAGCUAAACCCAACACUGAGAAGCCUGCAAUGUCAUGAGAUCAAUUCCCCCUCCGUCUCCAGAGCAGGUUUUCAACGUUUACAAAACCUGAAAUGCUUCUGCUGGCUGUAUUUGCAUGCGUUCUUUGUUUUUAAAUAAAGCAAGGAAUGAACGUUCACUUGAA